rnacentral:rRNA from 1 species
CGGCAGCACAGCAGUAGCAAUACUGUGGGUGGCGAGUGGCGGACGGGUGAGGAAUACAUCGGGAUCUACCUUUUCGUGGGGGAUAACGUAGGGAAACUUACGCUAAUACCGCAUACGCCCUACGGGGGAAAGCGGCGGACCGCAAGGCGUCGCGCGAUGAGAUGAACCGAUGUCCGAUUAGCUAGUUGGCGGGGUAAAGGCCCACCAAGGCGACGAUCGGUAGCUGAUCUGAGAGGAUGAUCAGCCACACUGGAACUGAGACACGGUCCAGACUCCUACGGGAGGCAGCAGUGGGGAAUAUUGGACAAUGGGCGCAAGCCUGAUCCAGCCAUGCCGCGUGGGUGAAGAAGGCCUUCGGGUUGUAAAGCCCUUUUGUCCGGAAAGAAAAGCACGGGAUUAAUACCCUCGUGUGAUGACGGUACCGGAAGAAUAAGCACCGGCUAACUUCGUGCCAGCAGCCGCGGUAAUACGAAGGGUGCAAGCGUUACUCGGAAUUACUGGGCGUAAAGCGUGCGUAGGUGGU